GAGGGUAUAGCUCAAGUGGUAGAGCGUGUGCUUAGCAUGCGCCAGGUCCUGGGUUCAAUCCCCAGUACCUCCA
rnacentral:tRNA from 1 species